UACGGAGGGUGCAAGCGUUAUCCGGAUUCACUGGGUUUAAAGGGUGCGUAGGCGGGUAGGUAAGUCAGUGGUGAAAUCUCGAAGCUUAACUUCGAAACUGCCAUUGAUACUAUCUAUCUUGAAUAUUGUGGAGGUUUGCGGAAUAUGUCAUGUAGCGGUGAAAUGCUUAGAUAUGACAUAGAACACCGAUAGCGGAGGCAGCUUACUACGCGAUUAUUGACACUGAGGCACGAAAGCGUGGGGAUCAAACAGG
rnacentral:rRNA from 1 species